rnacentral:rRNA from 1 species
UACGAAGGGUGCAAGCGUUGUUCGGAUUUAUUGGGCGUAAAGCGUGCGCAGGCGGGUUCGCAAGUCAGGUGUGAAAUCUCGAGGCUUAACCUCGAAAUUGCGCCUGAAACUGCAAGUCUAGAAUGUCGGAGAGGGAAGGGGAAUAUCUCAUGUAGGGGUAAAAUCCGUAGAGAUGAGAUGGAACACCAGAGGCGAAGGCGCCUUCCUGGACGAUUAUUGACGCUGAGGCACGAAAGCGUGGGGAGCAAACAGGA